rnacentral:rRNA from 1 species
CCCUUCGGGGUACUCGAGCGGCGAACGGGUGAGUAACACGUGAGUAAUCUGCCCCAGGCUCUGGGAUAGCCACCGGAAACGGUGAUUAAUACCGGAUACGACAACUUCCUGCAUGGGAUGGUUGUGGAAAGUUUUUCGGCCUGGGAUGUGCUCGCGGCCUAUCAGCUUGUUGGUGAGGUAAUGGCUCACCAAGGCUUCGACGGGUAGCCGGCCUGAGAGGGUGACCGGCCACACUGGGACUGAGACACGGCCCAGACUCCUACGGGAGGCAGCAGUGGGGAAUAUUGGACAAUGGGCGGAAGCCUGAUCCAGCAACGCCGCGUGAGGGAUGACGGCCUUCGGGUUGUAAACCUCUUUCAGCACAGACGAAGCGCAAGUGACGGUAUGUGCAGAAGAAGGACCGGCCAACUACGUGCCAGCAGCCGCGGUAAUACGUAGGGUCCGAGCGUUGUCCGGAAUUAUUGGGCGUAAAGGGCUCGUAGGCGGUCUGUCGCGUCGGGAGUGAAAACCAGGUGCUUAACACCUGGCCUGCUUUCGAUACGGGCAGACUAGAGGUACUCA